UACAGAGGGUGCGAGCGUUGUCCGGAAUCACUGGGCGUAAAGGGUGCGUAGGCGGCCUGGUAAGUCUGGCGUGAAAGCCCAGGGCUCAGCCCUGGAAGGGCGCUAGAAACUGCGAGGCUCGAGUGCCGGAGGGGAGAGUGGAAUUCCUGGUGUAGCGGUGAAAUGCGUAGAUAUCAGGAGGAACACCGGCGGCGAAGGCGGCCCUCUGGCUCGUUGCUGACGCUGAAACGCGAAAGCGUGGGGAGCAAACAGG
rnacentral:rRNA from 1 species